GCCCAGACUCCUACGGGAGGCAGCAGUGGGGGAUAUUGCACAAUGGGGGAAACCCUGAUGCAGCGACGCCGCGUGGGUGAAGAAGUAUUUCGGUAUGUAAAGCCCUAUCAGCAGGGAAGAAAGAAGACGGUACCUGACUAAGAAGCCCCGGCUAACUACGUGCCAGCAGCCGCGGUAAUACGUAGGGGGCGAGCGUUAUCCGGAUUCACUGGGUGUAAAGGGAGCGUAGACGGCCGUGCAAGCCAGGAGUGAAAGCCCGGGGCCCAACCGCGGGACUGCUCUUGGAACUGUGCGGCUGGAGUGCGGGAGGGGCAGGCGGAAUUCCUGGUGUAGCGGUGAAAUGCG
rnacentral:rRNA from 1 species